GUGCUAUAUUAUAAAACAAAUUAAUACAGUGCGAAAUUCUCUAUCAGCAGUGCAACAAUCUGCAACAGCAGUGCAAUAUUCUCGAACAAACUGAUGUGAUUGGUGGAAGAGAACAUUAGGUUCUAAAGUCUACCAAUUAGCAAUCGUGAAAUAACGGCCGCAGCCAUUAGAUAGGUUUAAAAAACUAGAUUGAACGUCCAAGACGACGUAAAAAUGACAUGUGCUUCUCGAGUUC